AGCGAACGCUGGCGGCAGGCUUAACACAUGCAAGUCGAACGGGCGUAGCAAUACGUCAGUGGCAGACGGGUGAGUAACACGUGGGAACGUACCUUUUGGUUCGGAACAACACAGGGAAACUUGUGCUAAUACCGAAUAAGCCCUUACGGGGAAAGAUUUAUCGCCGAAAGAUCGGCCCGCGUCUGAUUAGCUAGUUGGUGAGGUAAUGGCUCACCAAGGCGACGAUCAGUAGCUGGUCUGAGAGGAUGAUCAGCCACACUGGGACUGAGACACGGCCCAGACUCCUACGGGAGGCAGCAGUGGGGAAUAUUGGACAAUGGGCGCAAGCCUGAUCCAGCCAUGCCGCGUGAGUGAUGAAGGCCCUAGGGUUGUAAAGCCCUUUUGUGCGGGAAGAUAAUGACGGUACCGCAAGAAUAAGCCCCGGCUAACUUCGUG
rnacentral:rRNA from 1 species